AGAGUUUGAUCCUGGCUCAGAACGAACGCUGGCGGCAGGCUUAACACAUGCAAGUUGAACGGGAACAUACGAUAGCUUGCUAUAGUAUGUGAGAGUGGCGCACGGGUGAGUAAUACAUGGGAACAUACCUUAAAGUGGGGGAUAACUUCUGGAAACGGAUGCUAAUACCGCAUACACCCUGAGGGGGAAAGAUUUAUCGCUUUAAGAUUGGCCCAUGGCAGAUUAGGUAGUUGGUGGGGUAAAGGCCUACCAAGCCGACGAUCUGUAGCUGGUCUGAGAGGACGAUCAGCCACAUUGGGACUGAGACACGGCCCAGACUCCUACGGGAGGCAGCAGUGAGGAAUAUUGGGCAAUGGGGGCAACCCUGACCCAGCCAUGCCGCGUGAGUGAAGAAGGUUUUCGAAUUGUAAAGCUCUUUCGGAUGUGACGAUGAUGACGGUAGCAUCUAAAGAAGCCCCGGCAAACUUCGUGCCAGCAGCCGCGGUAAUACGAAGGGGGCGAGCGUUGUUCGGAAUUACUGGGCGUAAAGGGUGUGUAGGUGGACGUGUAAGAUAGCGGUGAAAUGCCGGAGCUCAACUUCGGAAUUGCCAUUAUAACUAUGCGUCUAGAAUUAUAGAGAGGAUAGCGGAAUACCCAGUGUAGAGGUGAAAUUCGUAGAUAUUGGGUAGAACACCAGUGGCGAAGGCGGCUAUCUGGCUAUAUAUUGACACUGAGGCACGAAAGCAUGGGGAUCAAACAGGAUUAGAUACCCUGGUAGUCCAUGCCGUAAACGAUGAAUGCUGGUUGUCGGACGAAUGUUCGGUGACGAAGUUAACGCGAUAAGCAUUCCGCCUGGGGAGUACGGCCGCAAGGUUAAAACUCAAAGGAAUUGACGGGGACCCGCACAAGCGGUGGAGCAUGUGGUUUAAUU
rnacentral:rRNA from 1 species